rnacentral:rRNA from 1 species
GUGGGGAAUAUUGCACAAUGGGCGAAAGCCUGAUGCAGCAAUGCCGCGUGAGUGAUGAAGGCCUUAGGGUUGUAAAGCUCUUUUACCAGGGAUGAUAAUGACAGUACCUGGAGAAUAAGCUCCGGCUAACUCCGUGCCAGCAGCCGCGGUAAUACGGAGGGAGCUAGCGUUGUUCGGAAUUACUGGGCGUAAAGCGCGCGUAGGCGGCUCAGCAAGUCAGGGGUGAAAUCCCGGGGCUCAACCUCGGAACUGCCUUUGAUACUGGAUGUCUUGAGUGUGAGAGAGGUGUGUGGAACUCCGAGUGUAGAGGUGAAAUUCGUAGAUAUUCGGAAGAACACCAGUGGCGAAGGCGACACACUGGCUCAUUACUGACGCUGAGGCGCGAAAGCGUGGGGAGCAAACAGGAUUAGAAACCCCGGUAGUCC